rfam:Spinacia oleracea cultivar SynViroflay scaffold83494.1, whole genome shotgun sequence.
UUGUGAUGCAAUGAUGACAAAUGUCUAAUCCCAGCUCUUUUUUGAGAUCUUUUGUAGAUCCGGGGAAAUACUAUGUUAAUUUGUAUGAGUUUUAGAA